GGUGGUUCUCGGGUGAUGCACCUCAGAAUCGGGUUCCCUCCUCUCUGGUUCCGGGGUGCGUCACCCGAGAACCACU
rfam:Myotis brandtii contig225494, whole genome shotgun sequence.